CACUAAAAACCUAAUCAAUCUAUUAUACCUAUUAAAUCCGCGCACAUUGAACGGGUCACAAUUAGUCAAAAUUUGCAAAACCCAAAAUGUGUCUUCUCCUCCCAACACACCUUUCUCUCUUUCCCAAGACCACAUCGACCUUUCUCCUUGAAUUUCCAAAAAUACACCAUAGCCAAAAGCUCCUCUCCUUCUCUACCCCCUCUUCCUCUUUAUAUCCUUCGCGAAAGGAGAAACCCUGAUCGCGUCAUCACUACCACGAUACCAGUGAGAUCUGUCCAUUUUUACAUUCCUCACCCUUGAUUCCAUCGACAACAGUGAAAUAGACUCAAAUCGGUGAUAGAGCUCAAAAAAGUUUCAAAUCUGCCAUUAAAUCUUGAGAAGCAUCCAAUAUUUCAAAAAUAUGUGAUCUCUUUCUGUUUCAAAAUUGAUUUUUCCCCUUCUCUUUUUAUCCGUUGGAUUCUAUGAAUUUUUAGUUUCAAAUCCAGACUUUUAUGUCUGAAUUUGCCUAUAAAUACCAAUGUUGUUACUCUUUAAGAACAAGCUUUAAAUUCGGGAAAAAAAAUGAGAGAAAUGAGUUUUAACAUUUUAAAAAAUAAGUUGAAAUUCAGACAAAAUUCUUGGAUUUCUAUUUUCAUAUACUAGUGUUCCUAGAUUUUGAUUUUUGAUUUUAUAUUUAGCCAUAAAAUUACUAGUCUUCUUGGAUUUUGAUUUUUGUUUGAGUUUUGGGAGUUGUUCGAGUUUGCAGUUGGAAAAUCCUUGACGCCCGAGCCCUUGUUUGCUGCUCAAGACAAGAUUUGGAGGUCACAAUGGAACUCGUCUUUGCCUAUAGCAUUGGGUCAAUAACUACUAGGAUCGCCACAAUGAGAGUCUCAUAAAUUAGAAAAGCUCAAUCCAUUAGGAGUCUAGUAUCUCUUGGCUCUUUUAUCUCACUUAUUAUCUCUAUUAUGUUAGUAUAUUUUGAUAUUUGAAAUGAGAAUUAAGUAUUCUUAUUUUAUAAAAAUUAUUUUAUUAUUUUUA